GUGGGGAAUCUUCCGCAAUGGACGAAAGUCUGACGGAGCAACGCCGCGUGAGUGAAGAAGGUUUUCGGAUCGUAAAGCUCUUUCGUUAGGGACGAACGUGCUCUUUGUGAAUAAUGAGGAGUAAUGACGGUACCUAAAUAGGAAGCCACGGCUAACUACGUGCCAGCAGCCGCGGUAAUACGUAGGUGGCAAGCGUUGUCCGGAAUUAUUGGGCGUAAAGCGCGCGCAGGCGGGAUAUCAAGUCUGUCUUAAAAGUGCGAGGCUCAACCUCGUGAGGGGACAGAAACUGGUAUUCUUGAGUGUCGGAGAGGAAAGUGGAAUUCCAAGUGUAGCGGUGAAAUGCGUAGAGAUUUGGAAGAACACCAGUGGCGAAGGCGACUUUCUGGACGAUGUCUGACGCUGAGGCGCGAAAGCUAGGGGAGCGAACGGGAUUAGAAACCCGGGUAGUCC
rnacentral:rRNA from 1 species